rnacentral:rRNA from 1 species
UACGGAGGGGGCAAGCGUUGUUCGGAAUUACUGGGCGUAAAGAGCGCGUAGGCGGCUUACUAAGUUGGGGAUGAAAUCCCGGGGCUCAACUCCGGAGCUGCUUACAAAACUGGUAGGCUCGAGCCCUGAUGAGGGGCGUAGAAUUACCGGUGUAGAGGUGAAAUUCGUAGAUAUUGGUCAGAAUACCGGUUGCGAAGGCGGGGUGCUGGUCCGGUACUGACGCUGAGGCGCGAAAGCGUGGGGAGCAAACAGG